rnacentral:rRNA from 1 species
CAAGUCGAGGGGCAGCAUGGGUAGCAAUACCUGAUGGCGACCGGCAAACGGGUGCGGAACACGUACGCAACCUUCCCGAAACUGGUGAAUAGCCCUCCGAAAGGAGGAUUAAUACACCGUAACAUAUAGGAGUGGCAUCACUUUUAUAUUAUAGCUCCGGCGGUUUCGGAUGGGCGUGCGGCUGAUUAGGUAGUUGGCGGGGUAACGGCCCACCAAGCCUACGAUCAGUAACUGGUGUGAGAGCACGACCAGUCACACGGGCACUGAGACACGGGCCCGACUCCUACGGGAGGCAGCAGUAAGGAAUAUUGGUCAAUGGACGCAAGUCUGAACCAGCCAUGCCGCGUGAAGGAUGAAGGCCCUCUGGGUUGUAAACUUCUUUUAUCUGGGACGAAAAAAGGGGAUUCUUCCUCACCUGACGGUACCAGAGGAAUAAGCACCGGCUAACUCCGUGCCAGCAGCCGCGGUAAUACGGAGGGUGCAAGCGUUAUCCGGAUUUACUGGGUUUAAAGGGUGCGUAGGUGGGCAUUUAAGUCAGUGGUGAAAUCUCCGGGCUUAACUCGGAAACUGCCAUUGAUACUAUUUGUCUUGAAUAUCCUGGAGGUAAGCGGAAUAUGUCAUGUAGCGGUGAAAUGCUUAGAUAUGACAUAGAACACCCAUUGCGAAGGCAGCUUACUACGGGAUCAUUGACACUGAGGCACGAAAGCGUGGGGAUCAAACAGGAUUAGAUACCCUGGUAGUCCACGCCCUAAACGAUGGAUACUCGACAUCAGCGAUACACUGUUGGUGUCUGAGCGAAAGCAUUAAGUAUCCCACCUGGGAAGUACGGCCGCAAGGUUGAAACUCAAGGAAUUGACGG